rnacentral:rRNA from 1 species
GAUGAACGCUAGCGGCAGGCUUAAUACAUGCAAGACGUGGGGCAGCAGGUCUGUAGCAAUACAGAUGCUGGCGACCGGCAAACGGGUGCGGAACACGUACACAACUUUCCUUUAAGUGGGGAAUAGCCCAGAGAAAUUUGGAUUAAUACCCCGUAACAUAGUGAAAAGGCAUCUUUUUAUUAUUAUAGCAGCAAUGCGCUUAAUGAUGGGUGUGCGUCUGAUUAGGUAGUUGGCGGAGUAAUAGCCCACCAAGCCUACGAUCAGUAACUGGUGUGAGAGAACGACCAGUCACACGGGCACUGAGACACGGGCCCGACUCCUACGGGGAGGCAGCAGUAAGGAAUAUUGGGCAAUGGACGCAAGUCUGACCCAGCCAUGCCGCGUGGAGGAUGAAGGUCCUCUGGAUUGUAAACUUCUUUUAUCUGGGAAGAAAUCCAUCUUUUCUUGGGUGGUUGACGGUACCAGAUGAAUAAGCACCGGCUAACUCCGUGCCAGCAGCCGCAGUAA